rnacentral:rRNA from 1 species
AACGCGAAGAACCUUACCUGGUCUUGACAUCCACGGAAGUUUUCAGAGACGAGAAUGUGCCUUCGGGAACCGUGAGACAGGUGCUGCAUGGCUGUCGUCAGCUCGUGUUGUGAAAUGUUGGGUUAAGUCCCGCAACGAGCGCAACCCUUAUCCUUUGUUGCCAGCGGUCCGGCCGGGAACUCAAAGGAGACUGCCGGUGAUAAACUGGAGGAAGGUGGGGAUGACGUCAAGUCAUCAUGGCCCUUACGACCAGGGCUACACACGUGCUACAAUGGCGCAUACAAAGAGAAGCGACCUCGCGAGAGCAAGCGGACCUCAUAAAGUGCGUCGUAGUCCGGAUUGGAGUCUGCAACUCGACUCCAUGAAGUCGGAAUCGCUAGUAAUCGUGGAUCAGAAUGCCACGGUGAAUACGUUCCCGGGCCUUGUACACACCGCCCGU